UACGUAGGGUGCAAGCGUUUAAUCGGAAUUACUGGGCGUAAAGCGUGCGCAGGCGGUUUUGUAAGUUUGUCGUGAAAGCCCCGGGCUCAACCUGGGAAUUGCGAUGAAGACUGCAAGGCUUGAAUCUGGCAGAGGGGGGUAGAAUUCCACGUGUAGCAGUGAAAUGCGUAGAGAUGUGGAGGAACACCGAUGGCGAAGGCAGCCCCCUGGGUCAAGAUUGACGCUCAUGCACGAAAGCGUGGGUAGCGAAUGGG
rnacentral:rRNA from 1 species